rnacentral:rRNA from 1 species
AGUCGAGCGGGGUUGAUUAGAAGCUUGCUUCUAAACAACCUAGCGGCGGACGGGUGAGUAACACGUAGGCAACCUGCCCACAAGACAGGGAUAACUACCGGAAACGGUAGCUAAUACCCGAUACAUCCUUUUCCUGCAUGGGAGAAGGAGGAAAGACGGAGCAAUCUGUCACUUGUGGAUGGGCCUGCGGCGCAUUAGCUAGUUGGUGGGGUAAAGGCCUACCAAGGCGACGAUGCGUAGCCGACCUGAGAGGGUGAUCGGCCACACUGGGACUGAGACACGGCCCAGACUCCUACGGGAGGCAGCAGUAGGGAAUCUUCCGCAAUGGGCGAAAGCCUGACGGAGCAACGCCGCGUGAGUGAUGAAGGUUUUCGGAUCGUAAAGCUCUGUUGCCAGGGAAGAACGUCUUGUAGAGUAACUGCUACAAGAGUGACGGUACCUGAGAAGAAAGCCCCGGCUAACUACGUGCCAGCAGCCGCGGUAAUACGUAGGGGGCAAGCGUUGUCCGGAAUUAUUGGGCGUAAAGCGCGCGCAGGCGGCUCUUUAAGUCUGGUGUUUAAUCCCGAGGCUCAACUUCGGGUCGCACUGGAAACUGGGGAGCUUGAGUGCAGAAGAGGAGAGUGGAAUUCCACGUGUAGCGGUGAAAUGCGUAGAUAUGUGGAGGAACACCAGUGGCGAAGGCGACUCUCUGGGCUGUAACUGACGCUGAGGCGC